ensembl:lncRNA
AUUUUGUCUUCCAUUUCUGUUUCUAUUUACUCCCAUUCUUUCAGUCUCAAUUCUUAUGCUUCCAUUACAGGGAAGGUCAAAAAUGCCUCUGCCUGCAGGCCUGCUUUGUUAAACUUUGAUGUUCUCCAGAUGUUCAGCAAGGGAUUUAUGUAACUACGACAGAAUUUGGGCCAUAUUUCUCUGUUUUCCUCUGAGCAAACUCUCCUCAUUUGAGACUGUGCUGAUUCACAGCCCUUCACGGGAUGAUGAUGUCUUGAGGAGAGGGACAUCACUGAGGCUGCUUUAUCAGUCCAUUGAGACUCCCAGAUACAUACCCUACAAGCAACAAACAAAAAUAACAGCAGCACAGCAGGCUGGGGCAGCUCCUCAGAGGCACUGUCCUGGAUGGCACAGGAAUGCUGGAGAACACAGGACCAUGGUGGUGAUGUUCCAUGAACCAGUUUCCCUGGUCCAUAGGAAACCUUGAUCUGCAUGGAGCCCCUGUGGAGGGACUGGGCUCCAAGGCUGGGGCUACGAUGUUGAGUUGAGAGAAAAGAGGAGGGAUGGACACUUGAUGAGAUUGGAGCCCAAGCCAUGAAGGGGCAGGCGCAAAUCUCUUGGGACCUGUAGCAAUGAAAAGCUCUGGAAGGCAUGUGGAAGAAGGGAAGCUGCAACCAAGUGGCUCAGCAGUUGCCUCUCCAAGAAGCUAAGAGUGGACUCCAAGGACUGUUGAUAUACCUCCAAAGACAGUUACCUGGUCUGCCAGUCGCAGCCUGCCUCUGGUCCCUUCACACUGCUCAAAGUCUGGAGACAGAACAACAUGGCUCAGCAGAUAACGUGCUACGUUCCUGAAAGUCCUUCUUUUGUUGGGAUUCUUCCCCUGUUUUUCAUAGGAAGGAAGGAAAGGAAGGGAGGAAGGGAGGAAGGGAGGAAGGGAGGAAGGAAAGGGUGAAAGAGGAAGGGGG